CAUAUCCAAAAUAAACCUGUGAAAAAUUGGUGGUUGCUCACUGAAAUUUAAUUCCAUAUCGUCAGAAGGUGGGAUGAUGCCUUAACUGCCUCAGCCAUAUUAAUGGCUGGAUGGGCCAUCAAUGUUGAAAGAAUGUACAAAGGAUAUGCACAAUGUAUUGCUUUGUAUAAUUGCAUUUUGCACUCCUAGAAAUGAAUUUAAAUGAAAGUAUAAUGAAUAGGAUGAUAAAGAAUACGGGAAAAUGUAUUAUCAGGGGGACAAAACAGGUUGUAGAAAGUGGAAAAUUUACUGCAAAAUAUGAUGAGGAAAUGAAGAAAUUUUGUGUAUUGCAGAAACUGACACCAGACAAACAAAUAAAUGGUAUAACUGUUUGCUUCAGAAUUCCACUAAUUUAUAUGCUGAUAUUUAUGAAAACGCUUCCAUUAAGAGUUCUCAGCUUCUGUAAUUAAGCAGUUGUAAAAUUUGUAAGUAAGAACAAAUUUGAAGUAAUAAUUGCAAGAUCAGCAAUACUCAGAAGCAACAAUGGAGAAUGAUAUAAAUUAAAUGGAUUAAUUUUUUAGAUGCAGAUAAAAUUAGGCAUUAAUAAUAAAUUGUUUUAUCCCCAUUAUUUAGAAGUGUUGUUAAGUGAAAAAUGUACCAUCAAUUUCAUCAAAUUAAUAGACUUUGAAUAUUGAUAUUAAUUUAUGAAACUGUUAAUUGAAGUAGAAGUUGAAAAAUAUUAACAGAAUGCUUCUACUCAACUCUCUUAACAACAAUUGACAUGCUCCAUAACUAUUUAGAAGCAGUUUUAAAUGUAAAAAUUUGUUAUGAUCACAUGUAACUUUUCUAGAUUGCAAUCCUACAUUCUAUGUAGAAUUGCAAAAGAGAAAAAAAUUGAUACCUUAUUAGAUAUUUUAAAGUAACUUUUUGAAUAGAGAAAAAUACCUAUGAUUUUAACUAAUAAAAUUAUUCUACACAAAAAUAUGGGCAAUUUAUUGGAAAAUAUGUUUAAAGUAUGGAAAUAUUGUUCUAAGUAAAGUAUAUUGUUAAUAAAAUAUUAAUUUGUUUCCAGAAACUAAAACAGUUAAAGAAGUUGAUAAAAUUUUGAAUCAAUAAAUCAAGCUGUUAAGCAAUCAUCAACAUACAAGUACAACUGGUUCAUUCCCCCCCAUGUAAUGAUACAGUUGGAAGUUCCUUGUAUCAUGACUGGGCCAGCAAUCUUUGCCAACUUUUACCAUGUUCUGUAUGUUCCUGUAUUUAUUAAAGUUUACAAUUAUAAGAAAAGAGGAAGGUAAUUUAUCAUUUUAAUUUUUGUUGUGUAAUGUCCAUGGGAUUUCCUUACUCAGAAAAGACAAUCUGUCCAUCAUUACCUUUGUUUGUUAUCCAAUAUUGUAGGCAUAAACAUAUACAGGGACAUAGUGUUGGCUGUAUAUUUCUCUUCCCUUUUGCCAAUGGCUGUCAAAUCUGUGACACUGUAUUUGCUGUGUCUAGGUGACAACAUUAACAUAAUUGUAUGACUAAAAUUUAUAUUUUAGUAAGUCAAGGACAUUGACGCAUUUUAAUUAAAUAAUUGUAUGAUA